AUUGAACGCUGGCGGCAGGCCUAACACAUGCAAGUCGAACGAGUGGCGGACGGGUGAGUAAUGUCUGGGAAACUGCCCGAGGGAGGGGGAUAACUACUGGAGAAGGUGGCUAAUACCGCAUACCAUCGGAUGUGCGCAGAUGGGAUUAGCUAGUAGGUGGGGUAACGGCUCACCUAGGCGACGAUCCCUAGCUGGUCUGAGAGGAUGACCAGCCACACUGGAACUGAGACACGGUCCAGACUCCUACGGGAGGCAGCAGUGGGGAAUAUUGCACAAUGGGCGCAAGCCUGAUGCAGCCAUGCCGCGUGUAUGAAGAAGGCCUUCGGGUUGUAAAGUACUUUCAGCGAGGAGGCGUUACCCGCAGAAGAAGCACCGGCUAACUCCGUGCCAGCAGCCGCGGUAAUUC
rnacentral:rRNA from 1 species